AGAGUUUGAUCCUGGCUCAGGACGAACGCUGACGGUGUGCUUCACACAUGCAAGUCGAACGGAGUAGCAAUACUCAGUGGCGGACGGGUGAGUAACACGUGGGAAUCUACCAUUAGGUGGGGAAUAACAGGCCGAAAGGACUGCUAAUGCCGCAUAUGUAGGCAUCUCGACAGAGAUGUUUAUGAAAGGAGUAAUCCGCCUUUUGAUGAGCCCGCGUCCGAUUAGCUAGUUGGUAGGGUAAAAGCCUACCAAGGCGACGAUCGGUAGGUGGUCUGAGAGGAUGAUCACCCACAAUGGGACUGAGACACGGCCCAUACUCCUACGGGAGGCAGCAGUGGGGAAUUUUACGCAAUGGGGGAAACCCUGACGUAGCGACACCGCGUGAGCGAAGAAGCCCUUUGGGGUGUAAAGCUCUGUCAACAGGAACGAAACAAAUGACGGUACCUGUGGAGGAAGCAUCGGCUAACUACGUGCCAGCAGCCGCGGUAAGACGUAGGAUGCAAGCGUUGUCCGGAUUUAUUGGGCGUAAAGAGUUCGUAGGCGGUUUGUUAAGUCUGAUGUUAAAGACCGGGGCUCAACCUCGGAAAUGCAUUGGAUACUGGCAGACUGGAGUGCAGUAGAGGCUAGUGGAAUUCCCAGUGUAGCGGUGAAAUGCGUAGA
rnacentral:rRNA from 1 species